GACGAACGCUGGCGGCGCGCUUAACACAUGCAAGUCGAGCGAUGAAACUUUAACAGUACCCUUCGGGGCGAAGAUAAAGUGGAUUAGCGGCGGACGGGUGAGUAACACGUGAGUAACCUGCCUUUGACAUUGGGAUAGCCUCGGGAAACCGGGAUUAAUACCAAAUAAAAUCAUAAUGCCACAUGUCAUAACGAUCAAAGCUCCGGUGGUCUAAGAUGGACUCGCGUCCCAUUAGCUGGUUGGUAGAGUAAAAGCCUACCAAGGCGACGAUGGGUAGCCGGCCAGAGAGGGUGAACGGACACAUUGGAACUGAGAAACGGUCCAAACUCCUACGGGAAGCAGCAGUGGGGAAUAUUGCACAAUGGAGGGAACUCUGAUGCAGCAACGCCGCGUGAACGAAGAAGGCUUUCGAGUCGUAAAGUUCUUUUAUAUGGGAAGAUAAUGACGGUACCAUAAGAAAAAGCCCCGGCUAACUACGUG
rnacentral:rRNA from 1 species